GAUGAACGCUGGCGGUCUGCUUAACACAUGCAAGUCGAACGGGCUCUUCGGAGCUAGUGGCGGACGGGUGAGUAACGCGUGAGAAUCUGCCCUCAGGAUGGGGAUAACAGUUGGAAACGACUGCUAAUACCCGAUGUGCCGCGAGGUGAAACUUUUUGGCCUGAGGAUGAGCUCGCGUCUGAUUAGCUAGUUGGUAGUGUAAAGGACUACCAAGGCGACGAUCAGUAGCUGGUCUGAGAGGAUGAUCAGCCACACUGGGACUGAGACACGGCCCAGACUCCUACGGGAGGCAGCAGUGGGGAAGUGUCCGCAAUGGGCGAAAGCCUGACGGAGCAAGACCGCGUGAGGGAGGAAGGCCUACUGGUUGUAAACCUCCUUUGACCGGGAAGAACACAAUGACGGUACCGGUCGAAUCAGCCUCGGCUAACUCCGUGCCAGCAGCCGCCGUAAAAC
rnacentral:rRNA from 1 species